rnacentral:sRNA from 14 species
CUGUGGUCAGGAUAGGCAGCGGCAGUUGGAGCUUUCCCCACACCACCCUGUCCAUGUGCCUCAACCCUGACCUGGAGUGACCACCUCUAGA